rnacentral:rRNA from 1 species
AUUGAACGCUGGCGGAAUGCUUUACACAUGCAAGUCGAACGGCAGCACGGACUUCGGUCUGGUGGCGAGUGGCGAACGGGUGAGUAAUGUAUCGGAACGUGCCCAGUAGUGGGGGAUAACGUAGUGAAAAUUACGCUAAUACCGCAUACGAUCUAUGAAUGAAAGCGGGGGAUCGGAAGACCUCGCGCGCUUGGAGCGGCCGAUAUCAGAUUAGGUAGUAGGUGGGGUAAAGGCCCACCAAUCCAACGGUCUGUAGCUGGUCUGAGAGGACGACCAGCCACACUGGAACUGAGACAUGGUCCAGACUCCUACGGGAGGCAGCAGUGGGGAAUUUUGGGCAAUGGGCGAAAGCCUGAUCCAGCCAUUCCGCGUGCAGGAUGAAGGCCCUCGGGUUGUAAACUGCUUUUGUACAGAACGAAAAGGUUUCUACUAAUACUAGGAGCUCAUGACGGUACUGUAAGAAUAAGCACCGGCUAACUACGUGCCAGCCGCCGCGGUAA